GCUCGCUGGAGCUGCCCAGGCACACUCGGCUAUGUAGUGAGACGCUGUGAAGUUGUCUACGUCUGUGUUAAGAAGAUUAAUUGCUUGAAUUGGGUGGAUUGGUGUGGUUAUGUGGAUUAUUCAACGGUGAUGUGUUACAAUCAUCCCAACGGUGCGGGGACUGAUGAGGGACGUACCUGCGACUCCUGAGGCACGGAAAAGAUGAUUAAAUUAUGGGGAAGAACACUCGUCCAUCAUACCGCCUGUGACGCUACUGUAGGGGAGGAUCACCUGCUGCGUGGAUGCCGUGACCUGCUGUGUGGUGUUGAGGCUUGCUUUUAUGAAGAGAGAUUCCUCGUAAGCCCAUUUUCCUCCUCUCACGAACAUCAAAAACUUUCCACCGCGAUUAAUCUCCAGGAUCGCAAUCAGCACCUCAUCUCCUCUUCCUGCUCCUCCUGCCGCAGUAUCGCAUCGUCAACACGCGCGAACUCCCUCAAGGGCCUGGACGUCGGCACUCGGCUUUAGCGUCGCCUCAUGCAUCGCCGGGCCAGUGUUCUGAAAAUGGUUGGGCAUAAACUUGUUGGUGAUGAAUUAAUAAAGCUUCUGACUCUGGGAGCUUAAGGAGGAGGAGGAGAAGGAGGAGGAGGGCAUGGAGGGAGGAGAGAAGUGCCGCCAAAGUACUUAAGAGAAUUAAUCUGAUGUUGAGGCAGCAUCAUUCUGUCCUCUGGGAAGCUCUCUCAGCUGGAGGGAUACAGCAAGUCCUGAGUUAACUACAUGCGGUUAGAUUGAAGAAUCAUCCAGAGCCUUCCAAAAUUGAUUUUGGACAGGAGCUAACACAUCCUCUCAAAGACACCUCUGCUGGAAUCGCAAGACAGGGAGACGUGAGGACUUGAGUACCUGAUGUAACACUGAUGCCACUGCACAUGCCUCUGUGGUGGAGAGGCUGGCCUGAAAAUGUUCUGACGAAGUCGGAAAUUGUAAAUAUAUUAAAAAAAAAAAAAUUAAUGUGUAAUGUAAGCAAAUGUAAGAAAAGUGUAAAUAUAAAAAUUUCACUAAAUGUGUGUACUAUAUUCGAAUGUACUAGAAAGACAGUCCGGAGGGAAUGAAAUGAAAAUUUUACUCCGGACUAAGUCGAAAAGAUAUAUUAUUUGUACCUCAUUUUAAAUAAAAUAGUUCAGAGG